rnacentral:misc_RNA from 1 species
AUUGGACUGAGGAUUGAAAUUAACGCAGAACACAAACCCAGUAUGUCCCCGGAGAGUUUUGACUGACUCAGCUGUGCGUGCAUCCCAAAUACGAAGCGUGCGAUCGUCAGAGGCGGAGCAUAUGUAACUUGAAUCAGACGACCAUGAUAGGUCGGAGACACCUUCUGAAUGGCCGACGAGACGUGAAAGCUGAGUUAGGGUUUGGGUAGACCAGACGAUUAGGGUUUUGUCCAAGGAGGCGGAAGCGAAGAGUUGUCCGUUAUUGGCGAACUUCACGCAAGAGACGGCGCGUGUGUGUCCGGUGAGAACUUUUCUCUGGCGGUAGGGAAGGUAGGGUGGAGUCGUCGGUUGAUUGUUGUUGUUGUUCGCCAUCGGAAUUUGGACUCCGGCCACGGCGUCACCACUACGCAACGCCUCGGCCUCAACUCUGUUUUUGCACAGAUUUGUUAUCAGUUUUUGUUACGACUAACGAGUAGGAAAAUCCAUAUACUAUAUACUAAUUUAGUAUACGUGUAUAGUUU